UUCAGAAGGGGCUGGGGCUAUGGGGUGCAGGAUCAGAGAGGACUGAGGUUGGAGCUGUAGCUGGGGGCAUUACUGGGACAGCUGACCCUAGGAACUGGGAAUACAGGGGGCAGGUUUGGAAGGGUGUGAAGGGUGGAGCUGCAGUUGCUUUGGGAGGCUUGGUCAUGGUGGAGACUGGGCCACUGGCAGCCCCUUUCCAGUUUCUAGAGACAGCACCGACCCCUGGAGUUCAAGGCUGCAGCUGGGACCCAGGUGCCCGGGGAGGCUGCCCCCAGCCACAGGCCUGCGUAGCCCAUGAAGAAGUGCUCCCUGGUUGGAGUGCCAUCUCCCCCAGUUACACCCACGUCCUGCUAGUGUCACCACCGCCUUGUCUGGGCUACGCCUAAUCCAGGCCUUGGCUCAGGCAGACUCUGGAGGCAGCAAACUGGACCUAGAGUGCACUGUGUCCCCAGGAGCCUCGUGGCUGGAUCGGACAGGCUGUCCCCCAGCCCUGCCCUCUGGGGCAUCUUGCAGAGAAGGGACCAGGUGACGGGGUUGCCUGCCGUAGCAGGGCCUGGACUCGAUGCCCCAAGAGGUCCCUUCUGCCUCUAGGUCCUGUGACCCCAACUGGAUUCCAGGGGCUACAUUGUGGCUGCCCCAGCCAAGUCCCACUGCGGGGAGAGCCUCUGCCUCAGGCCUGAGCCCUGAUCUGAGCUGGGGGGCUCAUGCUCUGUAGGGCCAGCCACAGAGUGAGCUUUCAGCUGAACGGGCCUGUCCCCGGCUGUCGGUGAGCUCAUGGGUUCAGCUCUUGGUUCAACCCCUGGUCAUGGCUGGACAGACAUGGCCCUGGCAUGUGACACUAUGUGUGUUCUCUUCCUCCUGGACCUGGAUAUGACGGGCACAGGGGGCAGAUUUGAGGGAGAUCACACACCCCCCCCAAUGGAGGAGGAGCCGGGGGCCAAGGCAGGCAUGGAUGGUGCUGUACAGUGAGGCAAGUGGUGUACAGUGAGGCAAGCCCUGCCCAGAGGAGCUAGUGCUGUACACUACGCUGCACCGUGCCAGGACCCCUGUGGCCUGGGUGGGGCAGUGGUGCGGCAUUCAGUGCAGGUGCCAUGAAGUCAGGAGUGGGUGAAGGAGAUUAAAGAGCGUGGGCAGGGAAUAGAGAGGGUGGGAGGGGCCUGGAGCUGGGCUGUAUUUGUGCAGAGCCCGAAAAGCAAGCUGGAUGCAGAAGAAGCUGGUCUGCAGCCGGGGUUAGACUGAACUGGAGCAGAGCUGAGAUCAUUAUAGUCCUGUUGCGCCAUCUGAGAGGCCAGGGUGCAGGUUCGAGGCUGGGGCUUCUGGGCACUGGAUGGACCAGUGUGCAGCAGUGGGUCCAAUCCUGGGGCCGUAGGAGAUGGCGCGCUCCCUCUACCGCCUUCUGCUGGUCCCCACCUGCCUGCUGCUGAAGCUCUCCAAGCUCCUAUACUGGCUGGCCGAGCAUAGUGCCUCCUACCUGCUGGGGGCUGCCUACUGCCUGUGGGUGCCGUGGCUGGUGCUGACCCAGGGGCCGUGUCGGGCCUUCCGCUGGAGGGUGCGAGAGAUGCCACCACCGUGCCUUACCGAUGCCUCCUAUGGGGAGCACCGCUACCUGCAGCUUAAGGUUGUGUGGGGGGAGGGGGAUGGGGGGGGACAGUGGGGCUGGGUCAAUCCCUGAACAGAUCCUCCUGCAGAGUCCAGGCUGCAGCUCUUACCCCUGUGAUGGUUCUUGGGAUGCCCAGGAAUGAGUCCCCUUGGAACCCCCGGCCUCCAGCCAGAGGAAGUCUUUGUGCUUAAGUGGGUGUCAGCUCCCUGCCACCUCCAGUCGGUUAGCCCCCAGACAGCCCUUCCUUUGCCUUGCAGGUUAACAAUAGGUGCACCGCAGUCCCGGAGCCCCUGUGAAGCAUUCCCCUGUAGGGCCUAGCCCCUGUCCACUGAACACGGAGACUUGGCAGGUCAGCUGUCCAAGGGACAGCGCACACCAGCUGGGAUGGUUCAGCAUCCUGUCUAACACCACAGGGCUGAGUUCCAGGUCGGGUGAGAACAGGCGUACAGGUCGUAUCAAAGAGCGAGAGCUAAGAGCUAGCGAGCGAGGAUGAUGGAAAUGGGAAGGUGACACAAGACAAAAGCGUAACACGAUGCUUAGAGACUAACUUCACUCAUUUAACCAUGUGUUCAAUGCAUAUACACAACUCCUUCAAUAUCAGCCAUACCCCCCACCUGCAAUGAUUCUGAGGAGCGGGAUGACAUCGCCUUCCAUUGGAAACCUCCCAUGAUGUCAUUGCUGGGUAAACGCCAUUAAGUGGUGUGCUCGGUGUAGUGAGUUUGUCAGGCUGUUGGAACUGUCAACCCUUUGCCUGCUGGUACCAGUGGGGCUCUGCCAGCCUCCUGCCCAGCUGUCCCCCAUGGUUCUUGCUGACGUGGGGCUGUGGCACAGGGGAAGCUGGGGCAGGUGCUGCAGACAAGGCCAGUGUCUGGGAUGAGACAAACGA